GCUAGGACUGGGUGGGGCAGAGGAGUGGGCUGCGAUGCUGGGAUUCACUUCUACAGGUGGGGCUUGGAGCUCAUUCAUUCUCUCACAAGACCCACCGAGUCCACUGCCAGGCCCCGAGGUAGAGCAGCAACAAAACACAGUCCCUGCCCUCAGAAAGCUCCAGGUGAAACCUGACUUCCUGUGGACGGCAACAACACCCUGAGGUUGACAUCACGAAGACUAAACAUCCCAACCUCAAACACACUGUCCUUAGUACCCUCCCACCAUCCGCCUCUACUUGGAGCAGAAUUGGCAACCAAGGGACAGCGGAGUGCACAAGGGAUGUUUCCACGCAGUGGAAGACAGUGACCCAUCAGGCAGGUGACGAGGAAAGGGCAGGAUAGAGUGUUGGCCCAUCAAAAACAAAGGAUGAACCAGCUGCUCUGAGCCUGUUUAUGUCCAGACUAUGUUCUGGGCUAUGAUGACUUCUCCUUCCCUCCAAAAUGGGGUUGGAACUGGGGACAUAAUCGUCUAAUAAUCUACCUCCUCUUAUCUGAAUACAAACUCCCUCUAGGAUAUUACAAUAUACCAAAAGGAAAAAAAAAAAAAAAAUCUGCCCACAGUUGCAAACAACACCCUUCCCUUCAGAAGCUAUGAACGAUUUAAAUAAGUAAUCACUCCGGAAAAUAGACAAUCCAUCCCUCCUUCCAUGCACCCCGCCGCGCAGCUGCCCCCUGACAUGCCUUAGCUGUUCGCUGUCACACCGCUAUUGUUCGGGGAAAAUAGUCUCAUCUGGUUAGCGACUGUUGAGACUUGCCUGUGAAGGGAUGAGCCAUUCGCCGCAGUGCCACUACCGAGGGAAUUAGUCGCUAUUACAAUCGUGUUCCAAGCAGGGCGUUGCCAAGGUGCCGACAUCUGGGGAAGCUGCCUGGAGGGCUUUGGCUGCCUAACAAAGACUCGGGGAUGGCAGGAUCUCCGCGGGGUUUCUCAGUCAGGGACAGACAUAAUCUGAAGCCAGAAGUCGCCUAGAGACCAGGCCAAACCUCUGAGUGAGCAAGUAUGCUUGGGUUUUAAAAGAUUUUAAUUCACAAAAACCAGCUGUGGCCCGAUGAGGGCAGGGAAAGUCAAGAACCUUCCAGCCACAGAGAGGAGGAAGAGACACAGGCGAGAAGGAAGGAAAGUGGAAAACAAAAAAACCUCAUUGACCCAUUUUUUGGUGUCUCCAUUGUAUGCAGUUGUUCAUAAACUCAAGACACUUAUCUAAAUAGCAAUUAAUACACAAACCAGCAUGCUCCUGCUUGUAAGUGAAUGCUGUAAAUGCUGUAAAGUCAGCCAGUGUGAAUGGCGGAGUGACGUGUGGACCAUCACAGCACAAGACAUGCCCACGCUUUUUACUUUUUGUCAAGUCUGGAUUGGCCUGACAGAGGGGACCGGAGGCAGGCACACCGCUGUCUGCCAAGGACCUGAAGUCGCUCCCUCCUCUUUCGCUUUGGGAUGGCAUCAGAACUGUGGUCUUUAGCAGCAGGCUGGGUGGCCUUUGUCGCCACCUAAGGUGACAGUACCUUGCCUUCUCUCAACCCAUCCUGGCUCUCUCUGCUCUCCAGAAGGGGAGAAGGGCUGCGGGUCGGGGGGAGGUGGUCAGUGCACUCCCUACACUUGCACUUGACUUGUCCGGAGAUGUGUGGUCUUUACAUGGUUCUUUCACUGUCACACCUUCUAAAAUAAUGUUGAGAAAGUAUGUGCCCAUUUGCACAUUUUUAAAGUUGGCAU